ensembl:lncRNA
AAGAUGUAUUUUCACAAGGUACCUCAAUGCUCAGCAGGCAACUGGAUCGUACAUCAACAGGCAAAUGAGUGUUUGGAAGAAAACCUGUGCACCCAGACAACGGGAUAAAGGUGACACCCGAAAUCAUCUUAUAGUUGUUGGUGGCUGCCAAGGGCACAAUACCAAGAACCUUGCCUUCACAAAAAGAGGGGAGGGGGGGAACCACAAUUUAGGAAGGGAGCCCCCAGCCUGCUGCUCGGGCACAACCAGGCUGCGUGCGGGCUGCCUUCAGGGCAGGCAGGGUGCCGAGCACCCCUCGGCCCAGGUGAGCGGGGUCUGUCAGGGCAGACCCGGGGUCUGUCGGGGGGCCCCUCCCCUUUCUCCCUGCCUCUUUCAGCCGAACAAAGGCGGCGGCGGGGCCGCUCGGUGCCGUGAGGGCGGCUCGGCACAGCCCGGCCCGGCCCCGCGUCGGGAGGAAGCGGCGGGCGGGCGGGUGCCAGCCACCCGGCUCCCCCGCCCCCCGUCUCCUCCCCUCCGCUGCCGAGCCUCCUCCUCCUCCUCCUCCUCCUCCUCCUCCUUCUGCUGCUGGCGGCGGCGGCGCCUUCCUCGGCCCCGGCUCCCCGCUCUUCCCCGCGGCUUCGCCUCGCUCCUCGCCGGGAGGCUCCGCGAGGACGGCACUGCUGCAAGGAGCCGCCCGGAGCUCCAGGGUGAAGAGACCUGCCUCCCCUGGGAGACCUGCUAAAGGUGAAGACCUCCAAGCAGACCAGGCAGAUUUAGCAGGAGCACAGAAAUUUUACAUCAAGGUAAAGAGAUUCAUUUUUCAAGCAAACUGAAGUGGCUGAUAUUUGCAAGAAAUGGUAUUUUUUUCCACCCUCUUUACUAAAUAAGCACACCAGUGGAUCUCUGAGCAUUUUCCUUGCUGUGUGGAUUGUUGCUUGCUACUUGGUACAUGUGUUGUCAUAGCAAAUGCUGUGGGGUGGUGGAAACAACAACAUAGUACACUGUAGGUUAGAAACAGAAAUAAUUCCUUGUAAUAUUAGUAGAAAGAUGUAUCUGUGGUUUGAUGUUGACAAAGGGACAGACUUCCAGAGCUCUACAGUGUGCUCAGUUUUUAGAAAUGUAUCCCUCUUUAAUUGCUGCAUUUGAAACUUAACUUUGAGUGGCCACAAAAAUAUGGAAGCACUUUCGGAUGUCUCCAGCAACAGCAGAAGAACGAGGUUUGCAUGUGAUGAAUUUCUGUUUACCAGCACUAUAAUUAUUUCUUCAUUUGGUCAUCUAGAACUCGUUCUUGCUUGUAAAGGGCAAAAUGCUUAUGGGCAAAGACAAAAUGUGACCCCAAGAACUUUGUUGAGCCUACAGACAGCAGUACAGAUACAGGCACUUUAGGGCAUUUUACUAAGUUAUGGUUUUAUUAAAUAGCCAGGAUCUUGAAUGUGGAGGUGAUACAUGCAUAGUCUUUUCUUUAUACUGAUGAGAUGAAUUGAACUCUAUGUAGAAGAUUGUUUGAGGGGAAAAAAAAAAAGGCAGUAGGAGCAUUUUCCACGGAAUUCCUCAAAAUUAAACGUAGGUCUUUCUAAAGGUCUUCCAACUUCUGCAGUUUUAAAAUAGGUUAUGCAAGGUGUUAACUUCAUAGUUGGAAGGUUCCAUAAAUGAGUAUUCCUUGAUUCAUUUGAGAAGAAUUGCAGAUUUCUCUCGUUAAUCCUUUAUUAAUCUUUUUCUGAAUUAGGGCUCUGAACUAGACCAAAGUUCAUCAUCCUAACAUUAAUGGAAUGAAACCAAACUCAGCAUGAGUUUUCCCAUUGGUACAACCAGCAUUUCACCCCAUAACCUUCCCUCAUGAGAUAUGUUGUACACACCUGGCAGUAGGACCACCAAGCUUGGUGAGGCCAACUGAGCCCAGCCCUUCCUUAAGCCAUUCCCUUUCUCACUGUCUCUCAUGGUGUUGAGUUCAAUUUCACUGAGUUUCUUCAGUCUACCAGCAAGGUCAUUUUCUACAACUGAGAAUAUUGUAUUGAAACCUUGACAGAAAAGAGAAAAAACAAUGAUAACUAUACAUUGUUGUUUUUUUUUGCCCUCCCAUUUGAAAUAAAACCUGAAACAUUUAUCUCUUUAAUGUUUCCCUUUGUUACAUUUACCGUAGGACUACAUGAAACAAUAAAAGCCGAGAUAACCAUAAACUAAAAGAAAAAGGCAGUGUUUCUUCUGAAUAUUACAUAAAAAGUGCAGUUUUGCACAUUGGAGAGCGUAAGGACUCACGGAAGGUACUUGCAUAAUGGUAUGGGUGCAUGAGUGGACUUAAGCGGGGUGGUGGUGGUGAUGAUUCAUGCACAGAAGUGUAAAGUGCCGUAAGCUCCUGGUGAUGCACAGCUUAUGGAUUGAAAUGCAGCCUUGAAGGCUGUUACUACCUCCAGCGAAUCAGUUUGUCUUUCUGUCUCUCUUGUUUCCCUUUGUUGGAGGGGUGUGUUGCUAACCAGAAACACAUGAUAGGAGAUAGCCAAAUAUUCUGGUGAAAAUCAAGGGCGCUUUCUAGCUGGGAAGAUUUCCUUUUUCCCCUGUUUUUUUUCAUUGAUGCAGCUGUUGGUGCAAAUUAUAUGAAGAAUUGAUCAAGGAGUUCUUGUUACUUCAAGUAAUAUUAUGCUUAUUUCUUCUCAGAACUGUGUUACCCUUUGUUACACUACAGCACUGCUGUUUUUUCCUCCAAGUUUUCCUCUGCUCCCACCCCUUUGUUCUCCCCCCUCUCCUCUCUUCUCUGCAAGAACAUGUUGUUUUUCUUUCAGCAUGCUCCAUGAUUUACUGGGAAGCGGAUUCUCCUUUUUAAUCGACAACAACAUAUUUUAAAAUAAUCCACGGCCCUGGGAACUGUGCAGCAUACACAUCUGGUUUCACAUAAGCAUGAAUUGCUGGCUUUACAAACGUAAAACAUGUAGUCCUUGCCGCAGAGCUAGCUCAAGUGUUCCGUAACUUGAGACCGAAUCCGAAAUAAAAACAAAAUUGUAUAGCUUCUUUACCAUACUAAUGGAAAACAUUUAAUUUACUUCUUAAAGCCAACCAAGAGGAUGACGCAAUGCUGUUCCAGCAGAUUUAUGGUGCCUUUCCUUCUGUAGAAAUCAAUACAGCUUGAAGGUGCUGUUAUGGGAGCUGGCUAGUUGACUGCAAUCCAGCUGCAUUCGAAUGUAAACUUCUGUACCGCAAACCAAAACUGAUGAUUUUGAUUUAUUCAGGCAUCGCUGUAUCUCUGAGAUAUUACGGCGUUGGAUUUUAUUCGUAGCUUUUUCUCUGAUUUACUGCCAUUAACGCUAGAUUGGAAUUUCAAAAUAGCAAAUUCAGUCUGCUUAUGAUUUUUUUUGAAUUGUUCAGUUAUUUUUUGCAUUUCCUGAAUCAAAGUACAGCUCUGUGUAUAUGCAAUGUGUGCCAAUGUGUGCCUGUCUGUGGGGCCUUUUUCCACACAAAAAAGGCAAAACCAAAAAGCAGACCUUCAUUCGAAUGAAGUGUUAAGGGGUAGCAUAAUUUUCCACUUAGUACAGAAGAAGCUCUGAUCAUUAAAUGCCUUUUUUUUUUUUUUUCUGCCAGAGGAUGCAAAAUGCAACACUGUUGUUUUGGCUCAGUCCAAAAAUGUUCUUACAAUAGACUUGUUUCACUUCUUCGGGGAAAAAAAGCAGUGCAGAUUUUCAUAGUAAACAACUUUUAUGCCUUUAUUUUCUUUUCUGUUCCCCUCUGCCCUCACUGAUUCUGCUUGGACUUUAAAUAAACUCUGUCCUAUAAGAAGUAGUUGAUGUUUUCCCUUAUUUUCUUCCCCAGUGGGGUUUCAGUCUUGUUUAAGCAUUUUACUUCAGGCAGAAAUUCUCUUCUAAAAUAGCCUUUAGGACAGGA